GUGACCUCAAAUCAGGUAGGACUACCCGCUGAACUUAAGCAUAUCAAUAAGCGGAGGAAAAGAAACUAACAAGGAUUCCCCUAGUAACUGCGAGUGAAGCGGGAAAAGCUCAAAUUUAAAAUCUGUCAGUCUUUGGCUGUCCGAGUUGUAAUCUAGAGAAGUGUUAUCUGCGCUGGACCGUGUACAAGUCUCCUGGAAUGGAGCGUCAUAGAGGGUGAGAAUCCCGUCUUUGACACGGACUGCCAGGGCUUUUGUGGUGCACUCUCAAAGAGUCGAGUUGUUUGGGAAUGCAGCUCAAAAUGGGUGGUAAAUUCCAUCUAAAGCUAAAUAUUGGCGAGAGACCGAUAGCGAACAAGUACCGUGAGGGAAAGAUGAAAAGAACUUUGGAAAGAGAGUUAAACAGUACGUGAAAUUGCUGAAAGGGAAACGCUUGAAGUCAGUCGCGUUGGCCAGGGAUCAACCUUGCUUUUGCUUGGUGUACUUUCUGGUUGAUGGGUCAGCAUCAAUUUUGACUGUUGGAAAAAGAUUAAGGGAAUGUGGCAUCUUUUGAAUGUGUUAUAGCCCUUGGUUGUAUACAAUGGUUGGGAUUGAGGAACUCAGCACGCCGCAAGGCCGGGUUUUAAAACCACGUACGUGCUAGGAUGCUGCU
rnacentral:rRNA from 1 species